rnacentral:rRNA from 1 species
GACGAACGCUGGCGGCGUGCCUAAUACAUGCAAGUUGAGCGCUGAAGGUUGGUACUUGUACCAACUGGAUGAGCAGCGAACGGGUGAGUAACGCGUGGGGGAUCUGCCUUUGAGCGGGGGACAACAUUUGGAAACGAAUGCUAAUACCGCAUAAAAACUUUAAACACAAGUUUUAAGUUUGAAAGAUGCAAUUGCAUCACUCAAAGAUGAUCCCGCGUUGUAUUAGCUAGUUGGUGAGGUAAAGGCUCACCAAGGCGAUGAUACAUAGCCGACCUGAGAGGGUGAUCGGCCACAUUGGGACUGAGACACGGCCCAAACUCCUACGGGAGGCAGCAGUAGGGAAUCUUCGGCAAUGGACGAAAGUCUGACCGAGCAACGCCGCGUGAGUGAAGAAGGGUGUCGGAUCGUAAAACUCUGUUGGUAGAGAAGAACGUUGGUGAGAGUGGAAAGCUCAUCAAGUGACGGUAACUACCCAGAAAGGGACGGCUAACUACGUG